UGCGUAGGGGGCAAGCGUUGUCCGGAUUUAUUGGGCGUAAAGAGCUCGUAGGCGGUUCCGUAAGCCGAGUGUGAAAAAUCUGGGCUCAACCCAGUGGAGCACUCGAUACUGCGGUGACUAGAGUACGGUAGAGGAGUGUGGAAUUUGUAGUGUAGCGGUGAAAUGCGCAGAUAUUACAAGGAACACCAACAGCGAAGGCAGCACUCUGGGCCGGUACUGACGCUGAGGAGCGAAAGCGUGGGUAGCAAACAGG
rnacentral:rRNA from 1 species